UGGUCAUUACCAAGGCUCUUAGAAUGCAGUUUCUCAUUAGCUGUGGACAUGACCAUAAAAAAAUUUCCCGCUAGGUCUUAUUUCUGCUACUUUGUUUAGCAUUCAGCCUACUGGGAACAUUU
ensembl:snoRNA